rnacentral:rRNA from 1 species
GACGAACCAUGCAAACGUUAUUCGGAAUUACUGGGCUUAAAGCGUGCGUAGGCGGCUCAGAAAGUUGGGUGUGAAAGCCCUCGGCUCAACCGAGGAAUUGCGCCCAAAACUACUGGGCUUGAGGGAGUUAGAGGUGAGCGGAACUCACGGUGGAGCGGUGAAAUGCGUAGAUAUCGGAAGGAACAUCAGUGGCGAAGGCGACUUCCUGGACCAAUACUGACGCUCAGGUGCGAAAGCGUGGGGAGCAAACAGG